CAGCCGUAAACAAUGUGCGUUAGGUGUGUCGGUAACCACGCGUUACUGAUGCACCGAAGAGAAAUCGUGAAACGCACCACCUGGGAAGUACGGUCGCAAGGCUGAAACUUAAAGGAAUUGGCGGGGGAGCACCACAACAGGUGGAGCCUGCGGUUUAAUUGGAUUCAACGCCGGACAUCUCACCGGAUAAGACAGCUGAAUGAUUGUCAAUCUGAAGGUUUUACAUGACUAGCUGAGAGGUGGUGCAUGGCGUCAGUGACU
rnacentral:rRNA from 1 species